rnacentral:rRNA from 1 species
AUGCAAGUCGAACGGCAGCACACCCUUUUUGCUCCCGGGUGGCGAGUGGCGCACGGGUGAGUAAUACAUCGGAACGUGUCCUGUUGUGGGGGAUAACUGCUCGAAAGGGUGGCUAAUACCGCAUGAGACCUGAGGGUGAAAGCGGGGGAUCGCAAGACCUCGCGCAAUUGGAGCGGCCGAUGCCCGAUUAGCUAGUUGGUGAGGUAAAGGCUCACCAAGGCGACCAUCGGUAGCUGGUCUGAGAGGACGACCAGCCACACUGGGACUGAGACACGCCCCAGACUCCUACGGGAGGCAGCAGUGGGGAAUUUUGGACAAUGGGGGCAACCCUGAUCCAGCCAUGCCGCGUGCAGGAUGAAGGCCUUCGGGUUGUAAACUGCUUUUGUCAGGGACGAAAAGGACCGUGUUAAUACCAUGGUCUGCUGACGGUACCUGAAGAAUAAGCACCGGCUAACUACGUGCCAGCAGCCGCGGUAAUACGUAGGGUGCAAGCGUUAAUCAGAAUUACUGGACGUAAAGCGUGCGCAGGCGGUUCUGUAAGACAGAUGUGAAAUCCCCGGGCUCAACCUGGGAAUUGCAUAUGUGACUGCAGGACUAGAGUUCAUCAGAGGGGGGUGGAAUUUCCAAGUGUAUCAAUGAAAUGC